rnacentral:rRNA from 1 species
GAUGAACGCUGGCGGCGUGCCUAAUACAUGCAAGUCGAACGCAAUGACCUUGACAGAAUUGAAGUGCUUGCACGGAGAUGACAGAUAGAAUUUCAUUGAGUGGCGAACGGGUGAGUAACACGUAGGUAACCUGCCCAUAAGUGGGGGACAACAGUUGGAAACGACUGCUAAUACCGCAUACGAUGCAACUUCGCAUGGAGAUGUAUUAAAAGGAGCUUCGGCUUCGCUUAUGGAUGGACCUGCGGUGCAUUAGCUAGUUGGUGGGGUAGAGGCCGACCAAGGCGACGAUGCAUAGCCGACCUGAGAGGGUGAUCGGCCACACUGGGACUGAGACACGGCCCAGACUCCUACGGGAGGCAGCAGUAGGGAAUUUUCCACAAUGGACGGAAGUCUGAUGGAGCAACGCCGCGUGCGCGAAGAAGGCCUUCGGGUUGUAAAGCGCUGUUGUAAGGGGAGAAAGAUACGCAUAGGAAAUGAUGCGUAGAUGACGGUACCUUACCAGAAAGCCACGGCUAACUACGUGCCAGCCGCCGCCGUAA